GGUCAGUUUGUCACAUUAAGGCUGUAGUUUGGACAUGUCUCAUGUUUAAAGGGAUCCAGAUGGAGCUUUACAUCUUGCAGCUCAUCUCCUGCUCUUGAUGCUGCAUUGAACCAGUGACACCAGCAUGCCUCUGCUCAUCAGGACAGACACCAGAGACAACAUGGAGGUGGACUGCAGGGACGUGUUGACGAUGAUGACGGUGUGUGCCGAGCGUGAAGGAAAGUCAGCUUCCCAGAGGCCUUUCCUGUCUCAGCCAGCUGCUUUCUGGUUUAUCUCCUCCACUGAGGACCAAGACUCCUGAUUAUUAUCGUUGCCGAGAUUCUCUACAGAUAAAAUAUUUCUGCCUCAUUUUGUUCAGGAAUAAAAUGUUUUCUAUGAGAAGCUCUCCUGAACCCUCACCUAGGUCUAUACGUCUAAUGUUCUGAGCCGUUCAGACCUUCAUGCCAGGACUGGGUCAGGAUGCGCUCAGUGUAUGAUCACAGCAGACUGAAGUGAUGCUGCUGCUACAGGUACCAUGUGGUCUCAGCAUGUGGACCCUGAUGCUUCCCUCAGACCUGCCACCAGGAUGAUAAGUCACCAAAGUCCACAGGUUCUGCCAGGUAUUCUGGUUGCUUUCAGGAUGCAGAUGAAGGUGGAUGUGGAGACCAUGUGUGACCUUACUGAAGUUCUACCAACGUGUGUCCAGGAUGUUCAUAACGGCGUGAAAUGAUUCAACAAAAGAAGCUAAGCUGUUGCUAAAAGCCCGUCUGUCACGUUUUAUGAUUAGAAACUGAAAACGCAAAGCAGAACCUUCCACAGCCCGACUAACCUCCAGAGAUGUUUUCAUCUCCUACCAUGGUUCAGGAUUUACAGCAGAUCAAUGCUUAAAGGUCCCUGCAGCCCACAGAACCGACACCGCAACCGGUGUUGCUGUGUGAGUCCAAUGAACGAUUGAAACUGGUGUCAAAAUCAGAGACCACCAUGAUGGGGUAAGUCAAAGAAAAGAUGGCAUCAGAACAUCUACGACAAACGAUGUCUACCAGCAGGAGGUCAUUCAGAGUUAUAAGGGGUCAUAGUCUGUCAACGGGCUCAAAUUGGAUCAGAAUCAAGGCAUAAUACAGCAUUUCCAGACAAAAAUAUACAAUUUAUCUGCAUAAUUCAAUAAAGAAAAAUCAAGCAGUACAUUAAUAGGAAGCUGGGGUCACCUUUGGCUUUCAUCUUGUUGUUUGAUGACAUCACUGGGAUGUCUGUUUGAUUCAAACACUGUCGACCAAUCAGAACAACCCAAGCUUUUUAGGGAUCUUAAAGACACAGUAUGUUUAAAAUACUGCAGCAAUAUAUCUAAACCGAUGCAAACCCGACCCGAUAGACUCAUAAAGUCAGUGACAGAUCUUUACAUGAGAACUUUUAGUCUUCCUAAGUUCAUCACACAUGAAUCAACUGGAGCUUUUCUUGGAACAUCUUGAAAGUGUGUUGAUGAUGCUUAAAUUAUAAAUUAUUAAUAGGAGACCUUUAGAGAAGUUAAAGGUCCUGGUUCUGUGUGAGCUGUCCUUCAGUCCAGCUUCAUCCUUCUGUGUCUUAUUUCUGCCUCCCGUUAAGGGUUCUAGUUUCCUGAUGUGAUCCAGAUAACUAACCCGCUUCUCGUUAACGCUGCUGUCACUCUCAGAGUCCGUCGGGAUGAACCAGGAGCUGCUGUCCCAGUUCACAAAUGGGAGCCUCACCUUCCUCCUUCCCUUCUGCUCCACAUCUCCUCGGUUAUGAACAUCUGACACUUGAAGUCGUCUCUCGGAGUAAAACUGAGGCUCUGGUUUUCUCCUGCAGCUUGAAGGUUUUAUUCCUCUCAUAGUUGGGUUUCUCUGGGUCAGUCUGGACUGGAACUGUCGUGUAUUUCAAAACUGAAGCGGGUCAGACAGGAAGCUGUGAAACCUGGCCUCAGAUCAGUGAGCUCUCUGCAGAUGGAAACUGACGGAGAUACAAUUUGACUUCCACCUCUGUUCUCUCAGCUGACUCAGCCGCCUUUAAUCUGAGACAGAGCGACUCAAACCCGCAACCUUUCAGCUGCUGGUUUGCUCCACAACAACAACCUGCACAAGGUGCUGGAUAUUAAAGGUUCAUUUCACUCCUUUUACACCUAAAAGCUGCACAAAAUGUGACUGAUGCUGGACUUUCACAAAAUACCAUCAGAUGUGAGCCGAAGAAUCCAGAACACAGUAAUUAUGAGCCAAACAAAUGACCAACAUUUAUUUCUAAAUGAAUUAAAGGUCUAAUCGGCUGAGUUGAAGGCAACCUGAGUUUGGUUUCUGUGUUGCAUUCAGUGUCGUCAGAAGUGUGGGAAACGUUGCCUCUGGGUUCACUAGUGAAACCCGAACCCGAAGCUCCUUUGUUCCUUCCUGGAGUUGUCAUUUUUUCCCUGAUGGGUUUUGUGAUGUUCUCAUGCCUGACUGGUUCUUGGCAGGUGGGAGGAGAUCGGAUGAAGUGUCAGGUGGAACCUGCUGCAGGCGGAGCAGGUUUUCCAGCUGAAUGUUGGUUCAACGGUUCCUCCGUGUGAAACACCACGAACAGAUCCAAAGACAGACCACCAGCUCUCACUUCAAACCGAACCCUGAAAGAAAAUGUGGCUCAGAGUGAAACUCAGGCCGCCCUCAGGCUGGAGUGGUUGAUUUAAAGGAACAUUCAGCUUCUUUCAGAGAGAUUGUCACAGAAACAGAACAUCAGGAACAUCUACUCUGCUCUGUCAGUUAGAAAAUGAAGAUCCAUCAUCAGGUGUUUCUAAUUUAUUUCUAAAAACUAACUGAAUAACACCCAAAGCAGAUUUGAAGUGAGUUCUCCUACAGAACCACGGUGAGAACCAUCAUCCAUAGAUGGAGAAAACAUGGAACAAUGGAGAACCUUCUCAGGAGAGGCCUUACCAAAAUUACUCCAUAAACUCAUCAACGUCUCAUCCAGGAAGUCCCAGAAUAGCUCAAGACAACCUUUAACAGCAGGCCUCACUGCCUCUGUUGAAGUCAAAGGUCACGAUUCAACAAUAAAAAAGACAGACUGGGCAAAAAUGACCUCCAUUGGAGUGGUCCAAGGCCAGAACCACUGCUGACCCAAAAGAACACAAAGGCUUGUUUCACAUUUACCAAAGAAUAUAUUGAUGAUCUUCAAGAAUUUGUGGGGAGAUCUUCUGUGGACUGACGAGACAAAAGUCAACCACACAGACUUGUACCCAGGAGGAUGUGUAGAGGAACAAGACUCGUUCCUUUAAUUAGAUGGCAGCCCCCCCUGAACCCCCCUCCCCCUGCAGCCCUGAGGGAUCUGCGACUCGAGCUAAUGGUCGAUGGAUGGAUCACAGUCUGCAGAGAGCUCAGAGGAAAUGAGGCGGGAGAACGAGGAAAGAAAAUCUGAAAAACAAACUCAUUAAAAAGCUCCACAUAUCAAUACAAUCUUUCAGAGAGAACAGAUUUCAUGUUGGUUCAACAAAUCUGAUUUUUAUUUGUUUUUGCUGUUUCUCAGGACUCAGCCCGUCCCUCGACCCUCAUCACCUCCUCCUCCUCUUUCUCCUCCUCCUCCUCCUGCUGCAGCCCAGGCUCCAUGUAUGGUCUGAGGGGAAACUUUUCAAACCUCCAGCCACCAGAAAGCCUCCAGCAGGGAGUGACUCUGCUUCCACCGAGUCUCAGAGGCCAACUCCCGUAUUUUUAGAAAUGCAGACUUACUGGCUCUUGUGAAAGAGGGCGUGUGUGUUUGUGAGUGUGUUUUUCUGUCUUUGGGAGGAGAAGCUGACAGUGAUAGAUGGAUCAUCAUGUCUCUUCAUGUCGGCCGGGGCCCCGGUUCUCUGCUGAAUCAGCUGCUGAAACCCAAGAAAAUUGCGGGAAGACAGAAGCUAACCAAACCUUCACUCAGCUAAAGAGAACAACCCGUCUGCUCCGUACUUAUCAUCCAUUCUUUCGUUUAUUCAGACUUUUUCAGAAUUUAAGUUUGUGGUUUCGUACUUCAGCAGGGAAAUUCCCCCCCGUGGAGAUGAAAGUUGGUCGCCUGAGAGGAACAAUAAAGACCUUUGGACCUUUUCUCCAAGCAAAGACAUUCAAAUGUUCCAGAGCUUCUACUGAAGUAUGAAGUCACUUAGGUGUAAAUAACUGAGAACAGUUUAAAUCAUUUCAGGCACGUUUCUAUCCCCAGAUCUGAGAGGCAGAAUUUUAACUUUUAAUUUGGUUCUGUCCCACUUUCAGAAACACACCAGCUUUGAAUUCAUCCAUUUACAUUCUAACCUUUAAGUAAUGUGAACCAAGUAGAAGUGGAUCUGAAACUUGUUUGCAUUGGAAGGUUCACGAGAGGCAGCUUUCAUUUCCUCAAAUCAACACAGCAGCUGAUUGGAGCUAAAAACACCCUGAAGGUCACAGAGACAAAGUAACUUUCCUUUGUUUGUUGAAGGAGGUCGGUUCCAGAAAGUCCAGUUCUACACUUAGGAACAAAAACCUGUUAACCAUGAAAAGAGAGGACACAGCAGGUUUGAGGAACCCCCCGCCCCAAACAUACACCCUUCACAGGUUGACAGGACUCCCUGAGGCGUUAAUGAGAAAAAUGCGACAUGUUCUGGACUCAAUCCAACAGAAUUACAGCACCUUAGAUACUGUCUACAGAGCUCUUUCUUUAAAGAUGUUUUCUGAGGUGCUUUGACACAUCUGUGGUUUUAAAAAAUGCAUAAACACAAAUGAUCCUCAAUAACUGUUAAAGAGAGCCUUCAGUAAUCAGCCCCACGCACAACAAACUAUCUUCAGUGGAGCCCUGGAUAGUUGGUCAUGGUCCAGGUCUUGGAUAAACUCUUGUUUCCGAGCUGAACUGUUAUUCUGUUUAUUGCAGCAGCAGAGCGAGUUUCUGGCUAAAAACCCUGGUUAUUAGAGCGCAUCAUACCAACGCUGGUGGAGAAACCCUGAGCUUCGCUCUCAUGUUCUUCUAAUGUUUGAUCUGAAAACAUUAGAAGCUGCUGUUUAUCUAAGCUUCAUUUUGUCAUGUUUUUGGUGUUAACUGUAAAUAAUCUUCUUCUGUCCCGGGGUGGAGAAAACUAAAUAAGGACAGAUCAUGUUAAAUCCGAUUUCUUACCUGAAAUAGAAACACCAGACAAUGAUUAGAGCUCUGGAAGAGCUUUCUUUCUGGUUUAAAUUUCAAAACAACCAUAAUUAUGUCAAAAUCAUUGCUUUAUAUUCCUUCAAUAAAACACUAAAUCAUU